ensembl:lncRNA
UCGAAGGGUUCCAUAGUGGGUAGAGGGGUUCCAUAGUGGGUCGAAGGGUUCCAUAGUGGGUAGAGGGGUUCCAUAGUGGGUAGAGGGGUUCCAUAGUGGGUAGAGGGGUUCCAUACUGGGUAGAGGGGUUCCAUACUGGGUAGAGGGGUUCCAUACUGGGUAGAAGGGUUCCAUACUGGGUAGAGGGGUUCCAUACUGUGUCGAGGGGUUCCAUACUGUGUCGAGGGGUUCCAUACUGGGUCGAGAGGUUCCAUACUGGGGUCGAGGGGUUCCAUACUGAAUUUAGGGGUUCUAUACUGGGGAGAGGGGUUCCAUACUGGGUCGAGGGAUUCCAUACUUGUUCGAGGGUUUCCAUACUUGUUCGAGGGGUUCCAUACUGGGUAGAAGGGUUCCAUACUGGGUCGAGGGGUUCCAUACUUGUUCAAGGGGUUCCAUACUUGUUUGAGGGUUUCCAUACUGGGUAUAGGGGUUCCACACUGGGCCGCAG